rnacentral:rRNA from 1 species
GUGAGGAAUAUUGGUCAAUGGACGAGAGUCUGAACCAGCCAAGUCGCGUGAAGGAAGACGGUUCUAUGAAUUGUAAACUUCUUUUGUGCAGGAAUAAAGUGGGUUACGUGUAACCUUUUGUAUGUACUGUACGAAUAAGGAUCGGCUAACUCCGUGCCAGCAGCCGCGGUAAUACGGAGGAUCCGAGCGUUAUCCGGAUUUAUUGGGUUUAAAGGGUGCGUAGGUGGAUUGAUAAGUCAGCGGUGAAAGUUUGCAGCUUAACUGUAAAAUUGCCGUUGAAACUGUCGGUCUUGAGUGCAAAUGAGGUAGGCGGAAUGUGUUGUGUAGCGGUGAAAUGCUUAGAUAUAACACAGAACACCGAUUGCGAAGGCAGCUUACUGGGAUGCAACUGACGCUCAUGCACGAAAGCGUGGGGAUCAAACAGGAUUAGAUACCCCAGUAGUCC